GACGAACGCUGGCGGCGUGCUUAACACAUGCAAGUCGAACGGAAAGGCCCUGCUUUUGCGGGGUGCUCGAGUGGCGAACGGGUGAGUAAAACGUGAGUAAACUGCCCUUGACUUUGGGAUAACUUCAGGAAACUGGGGCUAAUACCGGAUAGGAGCUACUGCUGCAUGGGGGGGGUUGGAAAGUUUCGGCGGUUGGGGAUGGACUCGCGGCUUAUCAGCUUGUUGGUGGGGUAGUGGCUUACCAAGGCUUUGACGGGUAGCCGGCCUGAGAGGGUGACCGGCCACAUUGGGACUGAGAUACGGCCCAGACUCCUACGGGACGCAGCAGUGGGGAAUAUUGCACAAUGGGCGGAAGCCUGAUGCAGCAACGCCGCGUGCGGGAUGACGGCCUUCGGGUUGUAAACCGCCUUCGCCUGUGACGAGGCGUGAGUGACGGUAAUGGGUAAAGAAGCCCCGGCUAACUACGUG
rnacentral:rRNA from 1 species